rnacentral:lncRNA from 1 species
AGGGAGAUGAGAGAAUGAAUAGAGAAGAAACAUGAGAGAGAGAGGGAUGGGUUCUCUCAUUCUUUUCUUUUUUUAAUCUUUCUUAGCGAAACAAGGAAGGAAGAAGAGUAGACCGGUGAAUAUGAUCAUGGUGGUCCGUCAAAGUGGCAACAGUUGAUGGUGGCGGCAAUGGAGAUCAACCGGCGAUGACGGCCGACAGGUUGAAUUCAGCCCAAAAAUAAGGCGAACAAAGAGAGGUUCUUGGCUCGGUCAUCCUCGGAUCCGAGCAUACUCAUUGGUGACAGGGGUUCCGCUCCAAGCAGGGGCUGCUGCAAGGGUGGGGCAGGCGCCCUCAGCGACGAACGCUGACUGUGGUGGUGGUUCGAAAAACAACAAAAGAAAAAAAUAGGAAAAUGAAUAAACUCAAAGUUCUACUUUAAUUAAAUAAUAUUUAAUUAAGUAAUAAAUUAAAUAAUAAAAUAAUAAUAAUUUAUUAUGACAUGUUGUUUUUUUUCUAUUCAUUAUCUUUGAGGAUCGGUCGUGGUCUUAGGGUUCUCUUCUUAAUGGAUUUCUGACAAAAUCGAGGUCGACGGUAGGUAGUUUAGGGCCGUGGAGGGGAAAGAAAACAAAGAGGAGGAAGACUAGGGCUUUAUCUCAACUUCAGUGGCAUUUUCAGCUCCGAGUUUCAGUGAACGCAAAGACAGACAAUCGAGAAUUCAAAGGGAGAAAAGAGAGAAAAGGGGGCUCGAUGAUCAUCAUUGGAGGAACAUAGAAGGAGGGGAUUGUUUAUAUAGAGAAUCCUAGGGCUCUGGCUUUGUCUCGAAGUCAACGGAGAAGAGCGGGGAGUCUUCC